rnacentral:lncRNA from 1 species
CUUCCUCUAAGACCUUGCUAGCGGCUCCUAGAUGCCUUCCAAACCAAAUUCUCUUCUAUGAGAUCAGCUCUUAGCUUUGUAUUCCCUGGCACUUAUGGAGUAUGUUAUGGAGGUAAGAGAAGAAAAUAAGUGCAACAUGCCAGAAAUCCAGUAAAGCAGUUCAAGUAUCAGAAGAGCGUGAAUCAAAACCAAGUGCAAGAAGAGGCACCUUGACAUUGAACUGAAGGCCACCAGUCUCCUGCCAGUGCUUCCAAUCGCUGAACUGAACUGGGAACAAAUCAACAAGGGAAACCAAGAGAUGCAUUCCUUGAAGUUCAGCCUCCAGGCCUCAAGUAAGGCAGAGGAAGAGAAUACAUAGAUCUGUGGAGAAGAGUGGUGAUGGUGGGAGCUGCCAAUAAAGAACUAUCAAAAAAGACGAAGUCUUUGUCGUCCAGGCUAGAGUGCAGCUGUGUGAUCUCAGCUCAUUGUAACCUCCACCUCCUGAUACAAGCAAUUCUUCUGCCUCAGCCUCCUGAGUAGGUGGGACUACAG